GACGAAAGGGUGUUUCCUCCACGCUAUUUAGUUGGUCACCGCCAGUUUUCCCAGCUCACGACGUAGUAAACGACGGCCCAGCCAAAGCUUGCUUGCCUGCAUGUCGAAGAUUCUUAAGUGGAGAAUACGCAUCGAAAGAUGUCUAAUCCGCAUAUUCUCCGAGGAGGAAAGCAGGGAUCGUAAGACCUUGCGCUUUGGAGCGGCCGAUGCUGAUUAGCUAGUUGGUGGGGUAAAGGCAUACCAAGGCGACGAUCAGUAGUUGGUCUGAGAGGACGACCAGCCACACUGGGACUGAGACACGGCCCAGACUCAUACGGGAGGCAGCAGUGGGGAAUUUUGGACAAUGGGCGAAAGCCUGAUCCAGCAAUGCCGCGUGAGUGAAGAAGGCCCUCGGGUUGUAAAGCUCUUUCAGUCGAGAAGAAAAAAUUGUGACUAAUAAUCACAGUUCAUGACGGUAUCGACAGAAGAAGCACCGGCUAACUACGUGCCAGCAGCCGCGGUAAUACGUAGGGUGCAAGCGUUAAUCGGAAUUACUGGGCGUAAAGGGUGCGCAGGCGGCCUUGUAAGUCAGAUGUGAAAUCCCCGGGCUUAACCUGGGAAUUGCGUUUGAAACUACAAGGCUAGAGUGUAGCAGAGGGGGGUGGAAUUCCAUGUGUAGCAGUGAAAUGCGUAGAGAUAUGGAAGAACAUCGAUGGCGAAGGCAGCCCCCUGGGUUAACACUGACGCUCAUGCACGAAAGCGUGGGGAGCAAACAGGGUUAGAUACCCUGGUAGUCCACGCCCUAAACGAUGUCAACUAGUUGUCGGGCCUUACUAGGCUUGGUAACGUAGCUAACGCGUGAAGUUGACCGCCUGGGGAGCACGGUCGCAAGAUUAAAACUCAAAGGAAUUGACGGGGACCCGCACAAGCGGUGGAUUAUGUGGAUUAAUUCGAUGCAACGCGAAAAACCUUACCUACCCUUGACAUGUAGCGAAUUUUCUAGAGAUAGAUUAGUGCCUUCGGGAACGCUAACACAGGUGCUGCAUGGCUGUCGUCAGCUCGUGUCGUGAGAUGUUGGGUUAAGUCCCGCAACGAGCGCAACCCUUGUCAUUAAUUGCCAUCAUUCAGUUGGGCACUUUAAUGAGACUGCCGGUGACAAACCGGAGGAAGGCGGGGAUGA
rnacentral:rRNA from 1 species